GAUGAACGCUGGCGGCGUGCCUAAUACAUGCAAGUCGAGCGAACAGAUAAGGAGCUUGCUCCUUUGACGUUAGCGGCGGACGGGUGAGUAACACGUGGGUAACCUACCUAUAAGACUGGAAUAACUCCGGGAAACCGGGGCUAAUGCCGGAUAACAUUUAGAACUGCAUGGUUCUAAAGUGAAAGAUGGUUUUGCUAUCACUUAUAGAUGGACCCGCGCCGUAUUAGCUAGUUGGUAAGGUAACGGCUUACCAAGGCAACGAUACGUAGCCGACCUGAGAGGGUGAUCGGCCACACUGGAACUGAGACACGGUCCAGACUCCUACGGGAGGCAGCAGUAGGGAAUCUUCCGCAAUGGGCGAAAGCCUGACGGAGCAACGCCGCGUGAGUGAUGAAGGUCUUCGGAUCGUAAAACUCUGUUAUUAGGGAAGAACAAAUGUGUAAGUAACUGUGCACGUCUUGACGGUACCUAAUCAGAAAGCCACGGCUAACUACGUG
rnacentral:rRNA from 1 species